rnacentral:rRNA from 1 species
ACACAUGCAAGUCGAGGGGAAACGACAUCGAAAGCUUGCUUUUGAUGGGCGUCGACCGGCGCACGGGUGAGUAACGCGCAUCCAACCUGCCCACCACUUGGGGAUAACCUUGCGAAAGUAAGACUAAUACCCAAUGACGUCUCUAGAAGACAUCUGAAAGAGAUUAAAGAUUUAUCGGUGAUGGAUGGGGAUGCGUCUGAUUAGCUUGUUGGCGGGGUAACGGCCCACCAAGGCGACGAUCAGUAGGGGUUCUGAGAGGAAGGUCCCCCACAUUGGAACUGAGACACGGUCCAAACUCCUACGGGAGGCAGCAGUGAGGAAUAUUGGUCAAUGGGCGAGAGCCUGAACCAGCCAAGUAGCGUGCAGGAUGACGGCCCUAUGGGUUGUAAACUGCUUUUAUAAGGGAAUAAAGUGAGUCUCGUGAGACUUUUUGCAUGUACCUUAUGAAUAAGGACCGGCUAAUUCCGUGCCAGCAGCCGCGGUAAUACGGAAGGUCCGGGCGUUAUCCGGAUUUAUUGGGUUUAAAGGGAGCGUAGGCCGGAGAUUAAGCGUGUUGUGAAAUGUAGACGCUCAACGUCUGCACUGCAGCGCGAACUGGUUUCCUUGAGUACGCACAAAGUGGGCGGAAUUCGUGGUGUAGCGGUGAAAUGCUUAGAUAUCACGAAGAACUCCGAUUGCGAAGGCAGCUCACUGGAGCGCAACUGACGCUGAAGCUCGAAAGUGCGGGUAUCGAACAGGAUUAGAUACCCUGGUAGUCCGCACGGUAAACGAUGGAUGCCCGCUGUUGGUCUGAAUAGGUCAGCGGCCAAGCGAAAGCAUUAAGCAUCCCACCUGGGG